CCAGGAUCAAGGAAAGAUGUAGAACAGGCGUCCUGAAUUCCUUGUUUUGGAGCAUUUUCAAGUGUAAAGAAUCUAGGGAAAUCAGAGUGGAGGUGGAGGACAUGGCACAAGUCCAGCAAGACAGUGGGACCUGGGGACGUUCCUAAAGGUGGU
rnacentral:lncRNA from 1 species